rnacentral:rRNA from 1 species
UACGUAGGGUGCGAGCGUUGUCCGGAAUUAUUGGGCGUAAAGAGCUUGUAGGCGGUUUGUCGCGUCUGCCGUGAAAAUUCGAGGCUCAACCUCGAACUUGCGGUGGGUACGGGGCAGACUAGAGUGUGGUAGGGGGAGACUGGAAUUCCUGGUGUAGCGGUGAAAUGCGCAGAUAUCAGGAGGAACACCGGUGGCGAAGGCGGGUCUCUGGGCCGAUACUGACGCUGAGGAGCGAAAGCGUGGGGAGCGAACAGG